GGAGGUGUAGCUUAGUGGUAGAGUGCUUGUCUAGCAUGCAAGUGUCCUGAUGUUCGAUUCCCAGCACCA
rnacentral:tRNA from 1 species